GGCGGGUCCAAAGGUAGUGAGUUAUCUCAACUGAUUGUUCACAAUCAAGUUAUAGAUCAAACUUCUUGUUUUAUUCUUUCCUUCGUCUCACUAUUGCACUUGACUAGGCUUAA
rnacentral:Y_RNA from 1 species